rnacentral:lncRNA from 1 species
GGGAUGCGGUCAGGCCUCUGGACCUCUGGCUGCCCUCCCUCCUCUCCUCUCCAGGUGGUGGAGGGAGGGUGAGGGUGAGGCGGGGCCCAGAGUGGACAGCUCCGGAACACAGAACAACCAUAUCACAGGACGUCGGUAUAGCGGGUCUGGGAGGCAAAGUUGCUGUUCGUGCCCCGGUCCCUGGACCCUGUGCAUGUCACCUCACAGUGCAGAAGGGACUUUGCAGGUGUGAUGAGGGCCCUGCAGGGUGUUUGGAGGCCCAGCAGUGAAAGGGCCAGGCGACAGCUGGUGCUCGGAAGCGGCUGAUGUGCGGCUCUGUGUCUUUGUUUUCAAAAAUGUCUCCUCUGAACGCCCAGCGCAUUUAUACCUGUAACAGGAACUCUCCGGAUGGGCAGUGAUUAAGUGAUUUGCGGACCCGUUACUUUGGCGUAACAACCUCUUCAUCAUACAAGAGUCACAGUGGAGAGGAGGAACUAAUGCCCAGGUUUGGAGUGAUGCCCAGUGUAUCGCACAGGACCAGGACAUGUGGGACAACUCUCCUGCCCUCCGGCGGAGUCUUGGGGCCGUGCUCCUCCUCCCGCUGUGGCCACUGCGGUCACGACUGCUCGUCCUGGGCCCAGACCCAGCGUCCAAGUCGGGAACGCGGAGGCCGUAGACGUCUUCCGUCACAGCCUUGGAAAUCACAGCAUCGCUUCCAACAGCCCUGUGUCGACCCAAGCCAGAUCCUGUCGUGUGGCCAACUCAGCCACCUCACGUCCACCACGAAAAUACUGCACGUCUAUUCGACUUCCAUCAAGUGCAGAAACGGACCCGACGCAUCUGCAGAAUAAGUAUCCGAAUGGUGGUUGCGUCUGGGGGUGGGGAUAGACUGAAAACAGCACAGGGGAAUUGUCUGGGGUCCUGGCAAGAUUCUACAUGUUGUGUGAGGGUGUUGGUCACAUAGGCGUAUGUGCGUUUGUCAAAACCCAUCAAAGUGUGCACUUAACAGCUGUGCAUUUUACUGUAUAGAAUUGUAUCUCGGUAAGUAACCAACAACCACAAAUACCACGCGCCUAUCUGGGUCUUAGCACCCCUCCCCGCAAUACACACACACAGACACACACACAGACACACACACAGACACACACACACACCCAAAGACCAGAGCCAGCGACUAAGGCUUGUUUAUUUAGGAAAUAAUCCUGUUCAAGGAGUGAGGAGCUGGGGGACGAGACAGGGGAGGAGGGAACACCAAUAUCAACCAGAAUGUGUCAUUAAUAUACCGCCACCGGUGACUGGUGCUUGACUUCACCGGGACCUUCUCGGGAGCCUUAUGAAACGCAUCUCAGAACCGUCUGCCUGAGAGGGCAGAGGGGAAGGACUUUUCCAUUGACUCCUGUCCCUCAUGGGUCCCAGUUGACUUCCCAGGCAUUAACUCACUGGUGCUUCUGGGUUGUUCAGAGGUUCAUAGGCAGCUCCAAGGUGGCCCCCAGGGACGCUUGCUCCUGGAAUUCUCAGCCCUGUGUAGUCCUAUUGUGUUCUAGCACUUGGAGACAUAGCAUCACCUGUUGGCCAUCCAUCUAGCACAUCCACUGUAUCCUAGAGGAUGGUUCGGCUACACAGCAGGACGUUACCCCGGUCAGGUGCCUUUGACGAGCCUUUAGUGAGCCAUUCUACUGUUCUCUUAGUCCAGAUGUUUCCAGAUGAUGGGCUAUUAUUUAUAUGGUAAGAUCAAUGGCUCUCACGGUCAAGUGCACAUUAUCACAUCUCCUCUGCCUCUGGGACUUAGGAGUGGGAACUGAUUGGGACGGGAGGGAACUUUCUGGGAUGAUAGCGAUGCCGGGUAUAGUGACAGAGGUUUGCGACACCCAGUAUAGGAAUCUGUCAAAACUCGGCAGAUAUACGCUGAAGAUCUGGACAUUUCUUUGUGCUUUACUUUGCCCCAAAAGAAAAAAAAAUGCAAAUAAAUGUAUAGCUCUAGUGAACGAAAGCCA